CGAGGUUCCGCCUGGGCUCUGAGCUGCAGCCGGCGAGUGUUUUUUCCAGGGCAAAGCCCAGAGGGGCACGAGGACUCAAGGCUGAGUCACAGAUCUGGAACCUCCUGAGGCUUGUACCCUGGCCCCCACGUGGAGCCUUGCCUAAGCCUCCCUUCCACUCAGGACUGCCUACUAAGAAAGGAACCCAGUUUUGAAUCUAGGGAAAUUAUCUGCACUUGUAAAUCAGCUUCAGAACGACUUCUUAUUUUCCAAAGCAGCUGCCCUGAAUUCAGAAUAGGCAAAUUCCUAUUGUUUACCAUCUGAUAAGACUUCUUAAGAUGAGAUCAUGGUUUAUGGAAUACCAUCAAGUGAGGAUGAGAGAAACUUUCCUGAAAGAAAGACCUAGCAGAAUGUUAAAUAUGGAAUUAUCACCCUGAAAUGCUAUGCAUGAUUCUUUACAUAAAUUCACAGUUGGUAGCACAUUGGUAAAUGU
rnacentral:lncRNA from 1 species